rnacentral:lncRNA from 1 species
UCAAGAAAAGGCAGCUAGUUACGUUUCAGACACCGGAACACACAGGAUGUGCCAGGGCUUCCUCACCUUCCUUCUUGUGUCACAGUUGGAGGGAAAAACAUAUGAAACUUACCUGGGCCUCCUAAGAGCUGGCUUCUUCUUCUGUGGAGAGAGAGUAAUAGGAACAUCUGCUUCAAGAUUUUCAUAAAGGUCGACUAAGAAAUGUGACAAGCUAUGCACCUCUACAUUUUAGAAGUUACAAAACAAAGAAAAACAGUUAACACCACUCCGCCAAAUGAAUAGAGGAAAUUUAGUAAAGAUGUCAACCUCUCUGUAUUGGAAGAAGCUCCUGGUUGCUUGUCUUGACCCUGCCUCCCAUCGCUGAGGAGUCUAGUUCACCUCUAAGCCAAGUAGGAUGAGAGUAUAUUUGGUGUCUGAGCUCAUUUUUGAAUCUACUUCAUUUGUGUUACCACACAUUAUUCCUUCCCCCUGUUCAACUAUCUACUAAGACAUUUAAACUGGCCAAGAAACAUCUAUCUAGCAAAAUUUUGGCUGAGAGUGUUCCUCCAAAUAGUAUAGUCU